rnacentral:rRNA from 1 species
UGGGGAAUAUUGCACAAUGGGCGCAAGCCUGAUGCGGCCAUGCCGCGUGUGUGAAGAAGGCCUUCGGGUUGUAAAGCACUUUCAGCGAGGAGGAAGGUGGUGAGCUUAAUACGCUCAUCAAUUGACGUUACUCGCAGAAGAAGCACCGGCUAACUCCGUGCCAGCAGCCGCGGUAAUACGGAGGGUGCAAGCGUUAAUCGGAAUUACUGGGCGUAAAGCGCACGCAGGCGGUUUGUUAAGUCAGAUGUGAAAUCCCCGGGCUCAACCUGGGAACUGCAUUUGAAACUGGCAAGCUAGAGUCUCGUAGAGGGGGGUAGAAUUCCAGGUGUAGCGGUGAAAUGCGUAGAGAUCUGGAGGAAUACCGGUGGCGAAGGCGGCCCCCCUGGACGAAGACUGACGCUCAGGUGCGAAAGCGUGGGGCAGCAAACAGGAUUAGAUACCCUGGUAGUCCACGCUGUAAACGAUGUCGAUUUGGAGGUUGUGCCCCUUGAGGCGUGGCUUCCGGAGCUAACGCGUUAAAUCGACCGCCUGGGGAGUACGGCCGCAAGGUUAAAGCUCAAAGGAUUGACGGGGUCAUAGCUGUUUCCU